rnacentral:lncRNA from 1 species
CCCUGUUUAGGCAUGUGACCUUGGGCAAGUCACUAAGACCUCUGCUUCCUUUUGUGAAAGGGGCUAAUCAUGUCUGCUUUCAGAGUUGGGAACCUUGAAUGAGAUCACACACACAAAGGCACUCAGCACACCAAACGCGGGGCAUCCCUCCUGUCCUGCCAGUUUGCAGGCCGUCUGAGCUCAGGUCAUUGAUUGAUUGAUUGGGUGAAAGGAUCAUGGAGAGGAUGCCAUCCAGUUGGAGAUAUGGUGUGAGCUGAAAAUCCCAGAGUAAAUGUCCUUUCCAGGACAGCAGAGACGAAAAGAGCUUUUCUGGCUGGGAGAUUCCAAGAAGGCUUUGUGAAGAAGGAGCAGCAUUAACCCGAGUUUCUCAGUGGGCUCAGACUUACAGGUGGAGAAGGGAAGGGGAUGCGGUGGGAGGAAUGGCAUGGGCAAAGGCCUUCAGUGAGAAAGCUGGGCACACAGCCGUAAAAUGGCUGUGAAUAGGCUGCUUUCCUAGAGCAAAGGGUAAGUGCGGUAAAACGGAAAGGGCGUUGUUCCCAAUUCCUGGAUUAUUAAAACAAAAGCGGGAUAUAUUGGGAAAAGAGUAGGAGGCUGAAUUAUUUGGAUAAUUACAAAACUGUUCCCUUGAAUCCCCGAUUUGCUUUGCUCCCUGUGGGUGGCUUGCCUCCUUUCUCCUUCACCGCGGGGAUCACAGGCUUCAGAAACCCUGAGGGGAAUGUCCCCAGAGAAGAGCCCCUCCCGUCUCCCCUUCUCCCUCAGGUCGUCACUUUGCCUCCUUAACCCCACUCCCACUCCUCAAAGGAAGAAGGUGGUGUUGGAGGAAGACUGGAGGGGGAGCCCCCUAUCUGAGGUCCCCAGACUGUCUUCAGAGAAAGGGAGGAGCAGCCUCAGCUUGGCGUCUGGGGCCCUGUUUCAUCCUUGGGCUGGCAGAGCAGUCCCCGAUAGCAGCAGGAAUGAAGAACAUGGGCCGAAGGAGGAGAUAAUUUAGGCCUGUUUCCCUGGCUGAUUCCGCUGUGCCUCCUUCUAUCUCUCUGCCUCUGAUUCUCUCCUCCUCUGUCUCUCUCAUGGUCUCUGAAGGAGAUGAAUUCCAGGUGUCUGAAAGAUCCUGAGUGCUAUGAACUGGCUUUCACAUCUGCGACCUGCUGUAGCCCUCCCACAACACUGGGCCCAGGGGUGUUGAUUUUCUUUUACAAAUGGGGCAACUAAGGCAUGUUAACAGCUGAGCCUAGGUUUGAACCUGGUUCCCCCUGUGCUGGUGCAGAGCUGUUUCCCCUGGGAUAUAUGUCUCCAGUGUCACUGCCCUUCCACUGGGUUUCCUGCUUUUACCUAACAUCGACUCACACGGUCAUUUUCGGGGUGGCAGGGCCUCCUGUCUUGUCGUUUUAAUGGCCACAUGGCAUUCCAUCAUGUUGAUGGAUCAUUUUGUUUGGUCACUCCCUCAUCGUUGGAUAUGUGUGAGGUGUCUAAUUUCUUGCUAUAAUAAAUG